rnacentral:misc_RNA from 1 species
CGCUUUACAACGGCGCGCUCCUCUUUUUUUUUAUUGUCCUGUGCGAGGGUCCAUGCGGCGGCGACUCUUCGCAUUUGUGCGUGUCCGCGGCACCGCGGCGGUAGCGACGCCAACCGUCGGCGUGGUGGCAGCACUGCAACGCCGCGGUGCUGCGUCCAAGGUGACGUCAACGACUCUGGGCAGCCCUGCAAAAUCAUCGCAUCACACAACGUCGUCGACGGCGCCGCGCACGAUCAUCGCGAACGCCGCAGCGCAGUUCAGCGGCACCUACCUAGACGUCGCCUGGACGCGGCAGUUCAUCCUCGGCUCUCUGCUACAGCGCUAUGACCCUCUGCGAUACGCACCGUCAUCACCAUCCUCCCCAUCCUCGAUCACCGCUCGGUUGGUGGAGUCGGCCUUGUUGGAGUCGCAGAGACUCCUUAGCUCAACUUGGAAGCUGCCCGUGCGGCCCCUCGACGCAGUGAGUGAGACACGCAUCCUUCGGCUAUUGGCCCGCUACGCCGCUGGCGAGGGCAUCCUCUCCGACACGGCUCUAGAGAUGCUGCAGCGCGUCUUGGCACGCCUCCCUGGUGCCCCGGCGUGCAUCUCCGACCCUGUGCAUAUGCGCACCCUGCUGGAACUCAUCGGGUAUGUUGAGCCUGGCGACAACCUCAGCCGGGUCGCGUACGCUGGGGAGCUGCGCUACCCCCCACAGGCGCACGCCUUCAUGACGGAGCUGCUGGCGGAGGUCCGACAGCGCGACGGCGGCGACGCCUUCGACGCCAUACGCGAGCGCCGGACGGGGCCGGGGUACGCCAUCGACUCCGCCACGACGAGCGAGGUCGACGAUGCCAUCGGUGUCUCCGUGGAUGGGGCAACGGGUGCAAAGUACUUUGUCGUGUACGUCUCUGAUGCAACCGUCUACUGCCCCUUCGACAGCACCCUUGAGCAGUUGACGGCGCGGCGGCUGACGACAACCACCUACCUGCCGGAGGGCGUCUUCUUCAUGCUCCCAAAGCCCAUCGUCGAGGCGGCCACGUUGCGCGAGGACCGACCGUGUCGCACGUUCAACGUCAUCUUCCAAAUCGAUGAGUCCACCGGCGAGGUGAAGAACUACUCCGUCGCCGUGGGAUGGCUGGACCAGCUGCGGCGCAUCACGUACGAUCAGGUGCAGGAAAUCAUCAACGAGGAGGAAGGCAGGGAGGAUGGCGAUGAACACGACAGCACCGCCGUUGUGGCGGCUGCGCACGACAAACACACAUCGUCCUCGCCGCCUCUCUUGGCUGAGUGCGCCGGGAGCGCGCAUCCCCCACCGGCGUGGAUGACGCGUGAAGACAAGGACAACCUCUUUUACAUUCUUCGCUGUGCCCGUCUUCGGCUGCGCGCUCGACUGGAGAGGCAGCAGCGACAGCGACAGCAACAUCACCGCGGGGCCGGGGGCAAGGACUGCGGAGACGAGGGGGUGCCGGCGACGCCGCCAGUGGACUUCAGCCUACCCGACCCCCUCAUCGAAGUCAAGGGCACCGAGGUGCUCUCCGUCACGGAUCAGGUCAUCUCCACCCAAGACGCCCGCCUUGCCGUGGCGGAGCUGAUGAUCGCCGCGAACGAGGUGUGUUCACGCGUUGCACAGGCCAACCACAUCGCAAUGCCGUUCCGCGGCACUCGCGCUCUUUCCAGCGAUCAUCUCGUGGCGCAUUACUACACAGAGCCUGAAGGUGUGCGCACGCUGACGUCACUCGACGCCUCGCACAUCUUCCUGGCCGAAGCCAUGCAGUCCUCCGUGCGUCGCCUCAGCACCGUGACACGCGCCAUCUACCAUCACGUCCCUCUGCACCAUGCCGGGCUCGACACGACCUUCUACACCCACAGCACAAGUCCGCUGCGUCGGUAUGCCGACAUGCUCGUGCACCAUCAGCUCAAGACGUGGCUCUGGCAGCAGCGCCGCGGUGGCGGCAGUAGUGACCACACCAGUGCGGCCUCCACCUCUGCCGCGCGUGCUGCCAUGGUGGCCGCGCCUCAGCAGCUCAUUCCCGAGCAUGCCAUGGCUUCUCUGUGCGCCAUGAUCAGCGCGAAGCAGGAGCGCGCCAGUCUCCUGCAGGACAACAGCACGCGUUUUUGGAUUUUGCGGUACCUCGAGGACUUGGAGCGUGCCUCGGCCAACGCCGCCGCCGCUGCUCGUGGUGGUAGUGAUGGUGACGCGCAUCACAAGAAAACCUACCUGUGCUUGGUUGGUGAGACACGCCGCGUGGUGGCUGCGCCGGCGUACAGCCGCUUCGCGUGCUCCUCGGCGGAGAUGUCACAGCUACUGUCCCUACCGCUGACAGCGCCGUCCACCACCUCGAGCACAGUGCGGCGCCCCGCAUCGCUGCAGAUGGAUGCCGUUGCGCGUUGGCGGCAGGAGACCCCCGAGUUCACCUACGUCUCGGACGUGUACAUCCCGGAGGUGCAGCUGGCGCACACUAUCACUCACCACCGCGACGACGUCCUUGUCGGGGCUGUGCUGGAAUGCCACAUCACUCGCGUGCAACCUACGCAAGGGGUGUUGGAGUUGGCCAUCGAACGCGUCUUACCUGGCGGCGAUGAGCGGCACUACGAGCGCCUCUGGAUGGGUGGGUUUGUGUCCCAGCUGGAUGCGUGAUGGACCGUCUUCGGGCCUCUUCUCUACGUCAUCGCCAACCCUAACAUCUUUUCUUCUCUGGCUGCUAGUCCCUCUCUCCUCCCCCACUGUUGCAGUCGUUGCUGCGGCUUCCUUUCCCGGCUCUGUAUGUGCCUUGUGUGUGCACGUAUGCACAUGUGCGUGUAUGUGAGUGUAACCGAGCAUACAGGGGUAUAGGCCAUGAUACGAGACGAGAGAGGGAGAGAGCAGUCCCGCGGCCAGUGCCGCUGCUGCGUGGUGGGGCAUCUCGCAAACACGAAGGGAACGAGAUGGUUCGACGUAGCGUGAGCGACUCGUCACACACACACACACACAUAAGCAUGAGAGUAAAAUGAGGGCAACGAAAAAUGUGCUCUGCGCGGCGCCUCUCCAGCGCAUCCCACGCACGCACACAUACACGAGCGCGCGCGCAGGAUCCUCUCCCCACGUCUGCCAACACCACCCUCCUCCCUCGCUUCCUCUCUGCAUGCCUUUUACAUGCAACCACAUUUCACCAACCGUCUGUCCUGUGCAUGCAUGUAUACAUGCAUGUAUCGAUGCCUUGGUGGUUUGCUGCUUCCACCGCCGCCGCCGCCGUAG